AGUUCUUUUCUGUCAAACGGUAACGCAGGUGUCCCAAGGCGAGCUCAGCGUGGACGGAAACCACACGUCGAGCAAAAGGGCAAAAGCUCGCUCGUUCUCGAUUUUCAGUACGAAUGAUCAUAUUCAUGA
rnacentral:rRNA from 1 species